GACGAACGCUGGCGGCGUGCUUAACACAUGCAAGUCGAACGAUGAACCCGGAGCUUGCUCUGGGGGAUUAGUGGCGAACGGGUGAGUAACACGUGAGUAACCUACCCUGGACUCUGGGAUAAGCGUUGGAAACGACGUCUAAUACCGGAUAGGACCUUGGAUCGCAUGAUCUGGGGCGGAAAGUUUUUUCGGUCUGGGAUGGACUCGCGGCCUAUCAGCUUGUUGGUGAGGUAAUGGCUCACCAAGGCGUCGACGGGUAGCCGGCCUGAGAGGGUGACCGGCCACACUGGGACUGAGACACGGCCCAGACUCCUACGGGAGGCAGCAGUGGGGAAUAUUGCACAAUGGGCGAAAGCCUGAUGCAGCAACGCCGCGUGCGGGAUGACGGCCGUCGGGUUGUAAACCGCUUUUAGUAGGGAAGAAGGGCUUCGGCUUGACGGUACCUGCAGAAAAAGGACCGGCUAACUACGUG
rnacentral:rRNA from 1 species